ACCAGCCUCCCUCGGCCAAGCCCUGCCUCUCGAGUGCCCAUGGAGGACGACCCGGAGGGCCUGGGCUGCUCUCGCAGGAGGGUCGCCGUGACCACUUGCAGACUGUCUCUGGAGCUCACCCGCCAGGUGACAUUUAAGACAAAACAGCAACAACAAACUUUCAGCAGUGCUUCGUGAUAUGAAAAGGCAGCCCACAAAUGAAAAAGGAAGCUGUUAGCUGCUGCCUGCCCUGGAGAUGUUCAGGUUGUUAUGGAGAAAAAUGAAAAUCUCAGACAGUCGCCCGGCAGACUUCAGGGGGCGUCCUCUUCCUGGAAGCGCCCCGAGCAUCCUUCUGACCCCGCUGCUCUGGAGGGUGGAUUGUUCUCCCUGCAAGGGAGAAAGGGACCCGGUGGAGAGCAGAGGCCAGCCUCCACGCCCAGGGCACUAGAGAGCCACUCUCCUGCUCCCUCUCCCAGGUCACCUUGGAGUGCCCUCCAUGGGUGGGCAUGUCCUCAGGGUCCCCUCCCCCCUCGGCCACACACUUUGCUCUCUGCAGAGACUUCCCAUCCUAUGGGCCACCCACCUCUGUCCCCAUGCCGGAAUCCCGACCCUGUCCCUCUCCCCAGGACCCUGCUCCUCUGCCCAUCUUGCUGGUGAAGAAGCAGGCCCAGGGAGGUGGCGCCGUUGUCCAAGUUUGCCCGGCUGCUGGGGACAGAGGUGGGAGGGAGCCUCGGUCUUUGGGCUCAUCUUUUUCUAGCAGAGCUUCUUAACCUUUCCUGGGGAAGAACUCUUGAAGUCGUGUGUUUACUGUUAAAAUUCAUGUGACAUUUGCAGUCUAUCUCUAUCUUGACUCUAAUCCAAAAGCAUGUUUUACAUCCCAGGCCACUUGAGACCCCACCUGCAAAAACACCAACUUCUCCUGCAGCUUCCUACGCCCCCUGCGCCGCCCAGGCCUCCAGGCUGAGCCAGCCCUCCCCGGCUGCUAGAGGCUCAGGAGAAUCAGACUUGGGGUCAGGGGGUGUCUGGGGUGCCAGCUGCCAGCAGAGACGUGGAAUUCAUCCUUGAAUACCGUAAACCAUGUACUGGGCUCUGAUGGCUCCGUUUUAUUGAUGAAGAGACUGAGGCACAAGAGGGAAACUGAGCUGCCCAGAGGCAGGCAGAGAAGGGAUGACUGAUCCCAAGCCACACCUGGAUCUCCUCGCACAGUCCAAGAGUCUGUCCUCUGAAGAGUCCCAUGUGCGGAGGCUGCACUCCCCAUCUCCCAGGCUGAGUCAGGGCCUUACUGUGCUGACCAGAGAUGACGGUUGUGGGCUCCGUUCUCCAGGAACUCCCAGGUCGGGAAUUAGAGGGAGAGGAGGGAGCAAGUCCAGCCCUCCAGACUCUGCUGUGUGACCGUGAGCAGUGGCCACCUCUCUCUAAGACCAGGUCCUAUCCACUCUGACUCCUGUAUAAGGUAAGGACCAGGGGACAUGGGCAGGUGGGCACUCAUCACAGCGACUGCACACAGGGAAACUGAUGACCACCCUGUACGGGUCACCCACUGUUUUUGUUAUGGAUUUGAUUUUGGGCCUCAUAAUCUAUCUGGGAGGCAGACUGGCCGGCGAGGUCCUGGACACAGCUUCAGAGCAGGGCGAGGCUCCAGGCAUGUGCAAGCCCCACCUUGAGGGAAGGACAGGCUGGGGCCUGGCCAGCCGAGGGGCUGCAGGGGUGUCUCCGUCACCAGGAAGGCAGGAAACGCUGCGCUGGGCUUCUCAGGCUGGGCCAGGCAGUCAAGGAGCCAGCAAAGAUGCCCAGAUGACCCUUCGUCUAACCUGUUGUGGUGGCCACCAUCCUGUCCUCUGCUGCCAGCAGCCCUCAGGGAGGGUCGUGAUUCCUCAUCACACAUGGGGAAACCAAGGCUCAGAGAAGUUAAGUAACUGCAAUCCUAACCCUAACCCUACCCUAACCCCUACCCCUAACCCUAACCCUACCCCUAACCCUAACCCUAGCCCCUACCCCUACCUGUAACCCUAACCCCUACCCCCUAACCCUAACCCUAACCCCUACCCCUACCCCUAACCCCAUCCACCUAAUCCUAACCCUAACCCUAACCCCUAACCCUAACCUCUAACCCUAAUCCUAACCCCUAAUCCUAACCCUAACCCUAACCCAUAUCUGUUCUCUGGCUUCCGGCCUCUUCUGGCAGCAUCUCCAGGGGGGCGCCCAGGGGCUCAGUCUAAAAUCCACCACUAUUAAAAUGUGGUCAGUGGUGGGUGGAGCCUCGCAGGAUGCCAAGAUGGAGAGGGGUGAAGGCAGCUGCCAUGACUAGAGGAUCAGGGUGGCCAGUGCCUGGCACACAGUGGGCUUGAGUGAUGCAUCUCUAACAACCUGACACUCUGAUGUCCCUUCAGCCAUUGAAGAUACUCUCAGGCCUUGAAAAUGAUUGAAAUGCUUGGCUGUGUCUAGCCACUCCCACAGGCUACCAGGCAGGGCUGAGGAGAGACAGGGAGGAGGAGAAAUCAUUGUCUAGAGCCCCAGGACAUGGCUGGAUGCGCGAGGGCGGCCCAGGCUCUGUAGGUAGCCCAGGGUCCCUGGAGGUGCCAGCCUCUCUCAGGCCGCCCUGUGUGCUGUGCCCAGCUGGGCUUCUCUCUGCGCUCCUAGAUGGCCUACCUCUCCUUCCCCAGGACAGCGGCUCUCCCAGCCUUGUCCCCCCUCUCUCCUCAGCCACUGCUCCUGAACCUCACCAACCCUGUUGCCCAGGGUACCAGGUGUGGCCACUGCAUCACCCUCCUGUCUGACCUGCCAGGGCCCACCUCUGCCCUACCUCCUCCAGCAAGCCUCCCCGACAGCUUCCCUGACCCUCGUGGUUAGAGUCUGAGGUGGAGUGUCCCCGAGGCCAGCCCCACCUGGGUCUCAUCCAGGCGUCCCCAGCUCCACCUCGGGGUGGCAGCAACUUAAAGGCAACCCAAGCUGGAGCACAUGGGCCAAAGGCUGGAUUUCCAUUGUGUGCAUGAAGGGCCCCCGAGCAGGUGUCUGGUCAGGCCAAUGAGGGAGGGAAGUGAGUCCCUGCAGCGGGGCCUCAGGCUGGACUCUGCCAAGGACUUACUUUCCCUGUGCAGUCUAAAGUAAGGACUAGGGUGCCCUGGGCUUGGGCUGGGGGGAGGGUUGGUGUGGAGAUGAUUCCUGGACAGAGUGGAGAGAGCAGAACCGAGUCACAGCAGUGACAGGAGGGCCCUGGAGCUGGCAGGCCACCCCCACCCCAGCCAGGCCACCUCCCACCCCCAGGCAGCCCAGCCGGUGGGAGAGCUCAGCAGGAAGCUGGACAGCAGAGCUCGCCCUGCAGGGCUGCUGGGGGGCAGCACAAGGUGAGGGCGUGGCCGGAGGCGGGGCCAGGAGGGGCGGGUGGGCGUGGCCGGUGGGCGUGGCACCCAGUACCUCGCUCCUGCAGAAGAGCGCUCGGGCUGUGGGUGAGCAACUGGAACUCCACCUGCUCCACACACUUCUGUGAGGCCACGGGCCAGUCACCUCACGGCUCUGAGCUGGGGAUGGGGUCAGAAGACCUCCCAGGCCCACAGGGUGAAGUGAUUAACCUGAGACUCACAGCACGCCUGGCCAGUGACCGACAAACAGGUCCCUAAUAGACCAGACGGCUCCCCGAAGACCCUGGCCAGGACACCCCGGCGAUCCCAGGCGCGGCCUCUGCUCUGCUGCCUCCUGGCGGUGUAACCCCAGACAACCCUUCUUCUCAGUCUAUUUCCUUCUCUGCAAAAUGGGGUAACCGCAGCUUCUCCCUCUGAGGACUCUGAGAUCCUCCUCCUUACAGGGCCCAGCAUGGCAGGGUCCUCCACCCCAGGCUGGGGCAUCACCCGGGCUGGGAGUGUGCAGGGGCUUUUCAGAUGAAAAACAGGGUCUCACAGGAGGUUUAACAUUCCGAUGACAAUGUCAUUGGCUCAGGUUUCCCUUCCAGAAUCCCACAUGGAAGUCCCUGUCCUUGACAGCUCCAGGUCUCCCAAUCCACUUUAUGGACACCCUGGGGAAGGUCCGGCCUGAGCUCUGACUGUGGCAAUGGAUUCUUCGUGUUCAUGAAAAUUGUCCCCUUACCUUGCCAGACCCACUGAAAACCUCAUUUUCUUCCAGCUGGCUGAUGGUGGGGGACACCGCCCACCACCAGCAUCUCCUUUCCUGUCCCUUUAGGAGCACACAAGUGGUCUCCCGCCCCGACCGCGAUUUGCCAGACGCAUUGCUUUCUUUCAAGCUGCUGGAUUCUGAGAGUGGAGUUUGCUCUCCUAGCUGACACCUCUUCCUCCUUCCUUUCUAUUAAAUGAGAGUGCCUCUUGUUCA